CAGUAGCCGCGGUAAUACAGAGGGUGCGAGCGUUAAUCGGAUUUACUGGGCGUAAAGCGUGCGCAGGCGGUUCGUUAAGACAGAUGUGAAAUCCCCGGGCUUAACCUGGGAACUGCAUUUGUGACUGACGGGCUAGAGUAUGGCAGAGGGGGGUAGAAUUCCACGUGUAGCAGUGAAAUGCGUAGAGAUGUGGAGGAAUACCGAUGGCGAAGGCAGCCCCCUGGGCCAAUACUGACGCUCAUGCACGAAAGCGUGGGGAGCAAACAGGAUUAGAUACCCCCGUAGUCCCUGUCUCUUAUAC
rnacentral:rRNA from 1 species